rnacentral:rRNA from 1 species
UCGCCUGUUUAUCAAAAACAUGUCUUUUUGUUUUAUAAUAUAAAGUUUAGCCUGCCCAAUGAAUUUUUAAAUGGCUGCAGUAUUUUGACUGUACUAAGGUAGCAUAAUCAAUAGUUUUUUAAUUGAAAGCUGGAAUGAAAGGCUGGACGAGAAAGAAACUGUCUCUUUAUAAAUAUAUUAAAAUUUUAUUUUUAAGUUAAAAAGCUUAAAUUAAAUUAAAAGACGAGAAGACCCUAUAGAGUUUUAUAUAAAUAUUAAAAAUUUAUUUAUAGAAUUUUAAAUAAAUUUUUAAUAUUUUUAUUUUAUUGGGGUGAUGAAAAAAUUUAAUAAACUUUUUUUUAAAAAAACAUAAAUGUAUGAAUUUUUGAUCCAAAAAUAUUUGAUUAAAAGAUUAAAUUACCUUAGGGAUAACAGCGUAAUUUUUUUAAAGAGUUCUUAUUGAUAAAAAAGUUUGCGACCUCGAUGUUGGAUUAAAAUUUUAUUUUAGGUGAAGAAGCUAUAAAAUUUGGUCUGUUCGACCAUUAAAAUUUUACAUGAUCUGAGUUCAAACCGGAGA